rnacentral:rRNA from 1 species
AGUGAACGCUGGCGGUAGGCCUAACACAUGCAAGUCGAACGGCAGCACAGUAAGAGCUUGCUCUUACGGGUGGCGAGUGGCGGACGGGUGAGGAAUACAUCGGAAUCUACUUUUUCGUGGGGGAUAACGUAGGGAAACUUACGCUAAUACCGCAUACGACCUACGGGUGAAAGCAGGGGAUCUUCGGACCUUGCGCGAUUGAAUGAGCCGAUGUCGGAUUAGCUAGUUGGCGGGGUAAAGGCCCACCAAGGGGACGAUCCGUAGCUGGUCUGAGAGGAUGGUCGGCCGCAUGAGAGCUGAACCAGGGUCAAGGCGCCUACGAGAGGCACCAGUCGGGAAUAUGGGGCAAUGGGCGCGAGUCUGGUACAACCAGAGCACGUGGGAGAAAGCAGCGUUGGGGUUGUAAUGCCCGUUUGUGGGGAAAGAAAAGCAGCAGCCUGAUACCCCGCCGUACUGACGGUACCGAAUAAAGAAGCACCGGCUAACUUCGUG